GGUAGCAUAAUAAUUUGCCUUUUAAUUGGGGGCUGGGAUGAAAGGUUUUAUGGGGAAUAGCUGUUUCAGAAUAAAUAAAUUGAAUUUAAGUUUUGCAUAAAAACUUGCAAAUGUUCUUGAGGGACGAGAAAACCCUGUGGAUUUUUAUUUGUUAAAAAAUAAAUUUUAUAAUAUUUUAUUUUUUAUCCAAAUUUGGUUGGGAUGACAAUAAAAUUAACUUUAUUCAAAGGAUAAUAAUUAGAUCCUUUUUAAGGAAAAAAGAACAAAUUACCCCAGGGAUAACAGCGUAAUACUUUUGGACAGGACAAAUGGAUAAAAGUGUUUGCGACCUCGAUGUUGAAUUAAAAUAUCUUUAUUAAGCAUAAAUAAUAAUAGUAAGUCUGUUCGA
rnacentral:rRNA from 1 species